rnacentral:siRNA from 1 species
GAUCGAGUGGUGUCAGAAGAUAC